GGGGUUGUGGCUCAGUGGUAGAGCAUUCACCUAGUACAUGUAAGGCACUGGGUUCAAUCCUCAGAACCACA
rnacentral:tRNA from 1 species